CCUGUGACACGCUCACAGCGAAGGCAGGUAGUAGAAGAGUCCCAUGAAAGGUGGCUCCACGGUCCCAGCGACAUGCGGGGACUCCUCUUCUCCACUCUUCUGCUUGCUGGCCUGGCACAGUUCUGCUGCAGGACACAGGGCACUGGACCGUUAGAUACAACACCCGAAGGAAGGCCUGGAGAAGUGUCAGAUGCACAUCAGCGUAAACAGUUUUGUCACUGGCCCUGCAAAUGCCCUCAUCAGAAGCCCCAUUGCCCUCCUGGAGUGAGCCUGGUGAGAGAUGGCUGUGGAUGCUGUAAAAUCUGUGCCAAGCAACCAGGGGAAAUCUGCAAUGAAGCUGACCUCUGUGACCCACAUAAAGGGCUGUACUGUGACUACUCAGUAGACAGGCCUAGGUACGAGACUGGAGUGUGUGCAUACCUUGUAGCUGUUGGAUGCGAGUUCAACCAGGUACAUUAUUAUAAUGGCCAAGUGUUUCAGCCCAACCCCUUGUUUAGCUGCCUCUGUGUGAGUGGCGCCAUUGGAUGCACGCCUCUGUUCAUACCAAAGCUGGCUGACAGUCACUGCUCUGGAGCUAAAGGUGGAAAGAAGUCUGAUCAGUCAAACUGUGGCCUGGAACCAUUACUACAGCAGCUUUCAACAAGCUACAAAACAAUGCCAGAUGUGUGCCAAGCUUCUAAUCUGCUUCCUGCAUUGAGGUCUUUAAACUGUUGUCUACCUUCCAGCUUAUAGAAAUCUCCCACUUAUUUGGAAAAAAAAAUGUCUUGUGCAAGCAACAAAGUGGACUCCCUGCUCCAGAACAUGUGGGAUGGGAAUAUCUAAUAGGGUGACCAAUGAAAACAGCAACUGUGAAAUGAGAAAAGAGAAAAGACUGUGUUACAUUCAGCCUUGUGACAGCAAGAUAUUAAAGACAAUAAAGAUCCCCAAAGGAAAAACAUGCCAACCUACUUUCCAACUCUCCAAAGCUGAAAAAUUUGUCUUUUCUGGAUGCUCAAGUACUCAGAGUUACAAACCCACUUUUUGUGGAAUAUGCUUGGAUAAGAGAUGCUGUAUCCCUAAUAAGUCUAAAAUGAUUACUAUUCAAUUCGAUUGCCCAAAUGAGGGGUCAUUUAAAUGGAAGAUGCUGUGGAUUACAUCUUGUGUAUGUCAGAGAAACUGCAGAGAACCUGGAGAUAUAUUUUCUGAGCUCAAGAUUCUGUAAAACAAAGCAAAUGGGGGAAAAGUUAGUCAACCCUGUCAUAUAAUAAAAAAAUUAGUGAGUAUAAAAUGGUGGCAAAUCUGCUUUGUUUAAAACAGUAUGAAUGCCUGUUCUUAGAUCACUACAUUUAAGGCAUUAGAAGCUUUUAAAAAAAGAUAUCCUAAAAAAAUACAUAAAAUUUGAAAACCUUAAAAAUUGAACUGAUCUCUAAAAUAUAUCCUAUAAUUAUAUAAUACGCAGACAUUUGAUACCAUCUAAACAUUUUGUAUAUGAAAAAAUAUGCAAUUUACAAUAAAAUAUUUUACAAAAUAAUCUGGAAUACUUGCUAAAGAUGUUUAAAAAGCAUACUAAAUUUUACUCUGGGCACAGUGGCUCAUGCCUGUAAUCCCAGCACUUCGGGAGGCCGAGGUGGACAGAUCAUCUGAGGUCAGGAGUUUGAGACCAGCCUGGCCAACAUGGUAAAACCCUGCCUGUAAUUAAAAAAUUCAAAAAUUAGCCGAGUGUGGUGGCGUGUGCCUGUAAUCCCAGCUACUGGGGAGGCUGAGGCAGAAGAAUUGCUUGAACCCAGGUGGUGGAGGUUGCAGUGAGCUGAGAUUGCACCACUGCACUGGCAUGGAGGAGCGAGACUCCUUUGAGGGGGGGGAAGUAUACUAAAUUUAAAAAAUUUAAUCUAGAUUUGACAAUGUAGCCUGGGUGCCCAUUAGUUGAUAAAUCAUUAUACGGCAAGUGAAAUUCUAGAUUAAUUCUUGAACAGUAAUAAGAUUAAGCUGUAAAUAUAUUUAGACUUUUCAUUGCCUGAUCUUUAACAUCAGUUUCUUUUGGAGAGGAGAAAAUGCAACUUUUCUGGCCACAGUUAACAACUGCAAUCGAAAAUAUUUUAUAUCGAAUAUUAUGAAAAACUAAAUUUCCAAGACAAAGACCAAAAACCGUAUCAUUACGUGGCAAAGGAAAGAAAUAUAAAUAAUAAAACUUAAAAUUAACCUGUGGAUCUGAAAUAUACAUUGCUAUUAAAAAUAAAUUAAUGUUAAGGCUAGAACUGAAGAUUAUAGUAACUGGAACAAUUACAGCCAUUUAUUGCAAAGUUUGGAAGAUAUCAAGCUUAGUAACCUUCUGUUCAUUUGUAUAAAUGACAUGCAGAACAAUAACAAGUAGCCCUGUUGAAAAAUAUGGACAUUUAUUAUAAAAUCAGUUGGUCUGAUAAGAAAGCAAUUAUUUAAAAAGUUUAAUACAAAUACAUGUUAAGUGUACAAAUUAGGAUUCUUUUGAGUAAACAAAUUGUUAUCUAAAGAAGAAGCAAAACCUCCUUAACAGUUGGAAUAAAACCUAUGCCCGAAAAUUUAAUGGAUAUUA